GACGAACGCUGGCGGCGUGCUUAACACAUGCAAGUCAAGCGGUAAGGCCCUUUCGGGGGUACACGAGCGGCGAACGGGUGAGUAACACGUGGGUGACCUGCCUUUAGCUCUGGGAUAAGCCUGGGAAACUGGGUCUAAUACCGGAUAUGACCCUAUGGCGCAUGUUGUGGGGUGGAAAGCCUUGUGCGGCUAGGGAUGGGCCCGCGGCCUAUCAGCUUGUUGGUGGGGUGAUGGCCUACCAAGGCGACGACGGGUAGCCGGCCUGAGAGGGCGACCGGCCACACUGGGACUGAGACACGGCCCAGACUCCUACGGGAGGCAGCAGUGGGGAAUCUUGCGCAAUGGGCGAAAGCCUGACGCAGCGACGCCGCGUGCGCGAAGAAGCCCUUCGGGUGUAAAGCGCUUUUCUGCGGGUGAGACAAGACAGUACCGCAGGAAUAAGACCUCGGCUAACUACGUGCCAGCAGCCGCGGUAAC
rnacentral:rRNA from 1 species